AAUAAAUGAGUGUAUCAACAACAACAAAGGGCAUGGAGUUCAGGAAUGUAUUCUUCAUAAUGAUUAGUCAAUCAUACGUGAGAAUGACAGGCUAGUAAAGAAAUAGUACAACACAACAAUAGAAACAAUGGGAAUCUAAAGAAAGAUGCCAUUCAAAUAAAUAAGUAUGGACUAAUCCUGCUGCAACAACCAAUCCCUGCACUCAAAUGCAACCAGAUGAGUUGACACCAGAUGCUUGCUACAGAAAUUAUGUCACAACUUUCUUGUUUGGUUCUUAAAAUUGCAUGCUAGUAUGCUACAAUUGAACAUAGUUUCAAUUUAGAUAGCAAGAAAAUAUUGAUGGAUGCAUUAGAAUUUUACCCAUCCAAUCUUAAAUUGAAAUCCAGAUAACUGUAAAAGAAAGGACAGGAAAACAAAAAUAUAGUCUGUAUCCUAACAAUGAGCUGUAGAGACAAACUCCAUAAUUCUAGAUAAUAUCAUGCAAAU
rnacentral:misc_RNA from 1 species